rnacentral:SRP_RNA from 2 species
GCCGGGCGUGGUGGCGCACACCUGUAAUCCCAGCUACUCAGGAGGCUGAGGCAGGAGAAUCGCUUGAACCCAGGAAAUGGAGGUUGCAGUGAGCCAAGAUCAUGCCACUGUACUUCAGUCUGGGCAACAGAGCAAGACUCUGUCUCAA